rnacentral:rRNA from 1 species
GACAGAGGCCUCGAGCGUUAGGCGGAAUCACUGGGCUUAAAGCGUGUGUAGGCGGAUCGUUAAGUACCUUGUGAAAUCCCACGGCUCAACCGUGGAACGGCUGGGUAUACUGGCGGUCUUGGGCCAUUCAGGGGCGACUGGAACAAGCGGUGGAGCGGUGAAAUGCGUAGAUAUCUGGGGGAAUACCGGUGGCGAAGGCGGCAUCCUGGACCAUUACUGACGCUGAGGCGCGAAAGCUAGGGGAGCAAACGGG